rnacentral:rRNA from 1 species
AAAUUGAAGAGUUUGAUCAUGGCUCAGAUUGAACGCUGGCGGCAGGCCUAACACAUGCAAGUCGAGCGGUAGCACAGAGAGCUUGCUCUCGGGUGACGAGCGGCGGACGGGUGAGUAAUGUCUGGGAAACUGCCUGAUGGAGGGGAUAACUACUGGAAACGGUAGCUAAUACCGCAUAACGUCGCAAGACCAAAGUGGGGACCUUCGGGCCUCAUGCCAUCAGAUGUGCCCAGAUGGGAUUAGCUAGUAGGUGGGGUAACGGCUCACCUAGGCGACGAUCCCUAGCUGGUCUGAGAGGAUGACCAGCCACACUGGAACUGAGACACGGUCCAGACUCCUACGGGAGGCAGCAGUGGGGAAUAUUGCACAAUGGGCGCAAGCCUGAUGCAGCCAUGCCGCGUGUGUGAAGAAGGCCUUCGGGUUGUAAAGCACUUUCAGCGGGGAGGAAGGCGUUAAGGUUAAUAACCUUGGCGAUUGACGUUACCCGCAGAAGAAGCACCGGCUAACUCCGUGCCAGCAGCCGCGGUAAUACGGAGGGUGCAAGCGUUAAUCGGAAUUACUGGGCGUAAAGCGCACGCAGGCGGUCUGUCAAGUCGGAUGUGAAAUCCCCGGGCUCAACCUGGGAACUGCAUUCGAAACUGGCAGGCUAGAGUCUUGUAGAGGGGUAGAAUUCCGGUGUAGCGGUGAAAUGCGUAGAGAUCUGGAGGAAUACCGGUGGCGAAGGCGGCCCCUGGACAAAGACUGACGCUCAGGUGCGAAAGCGUGGGGAGCAAACAGGAUUAGAUACCUGGUAGUCCACGCCGUAAACGAUGUCGAUUUGGAGGUUGUGCCCUUGAGGCGUGGCUUCCGGAGCUAACGCGUUAAAUCGACCGCCUGGGAGUACGGCCGCAAGGUUAAAACUCAAAUGAAUUGACGGGGCCCGCACAAGCGGUGGAGCAUGUGGUUUAAUUCGAUGCAACGCGAAGAACCUUACCUGGUCUUGACAUCCACAGAACUUUCCAGAGAUGGAUUGGUGCCUUCGGGAACUGUGAGACAGGUGCUGCAUGGCUGUCGUCAGCUCGUGUUGUGAAAUGUUGGGUUAAGUCCCGCAACGAGCGCAACCCUUAUCCUUUGUUGCCAGCGGUUCGGCCGGGAACUCAAAGGAGACUGCCAGUGAUAAACUGGAGGAAGGUGGGGAUGACGUCAAGUCAUCAUGGCCCUUGACCAGGGCUACACACGUGCUACAAUGGCAUAUACAAAGAGAAGCGACCUCGCGAGAGCAAGCGGACCUCAUAAAGUAUGUCGUAGUCCGGAUUGGAGUCUGCAACUCGACUCCAUGAAGUCGGAAUCGCUAGUAAUCGUAGAUCAGAAUGCUACGGUGAAUACGUUCCCGGGCCUUGUACACACCGCCCGUCACACCAUGGGAGUGGGUUGCAAAAGAAGUAGGUAGCUUAACCUUCGGGAGGGCGCUUACCACUUUGUGAUUCAUGACUGGGGUGAAGUCGUAACAAGGUAACCGUAGGGAACCUGCGGUUGGAUCACCUCCUUA